rnacentral:rRNA from 1 species
GACGAACGCUGGCGGCGUGCUUAACACAUGCAAGUCGAACGGAAAGGGCCUGCUUGCAGGGUACUCGAGUGGCGAACGGGUGAGUAACACGUGGGUGAUCUGCCCUGCACUUCGGGAUAAGCCUGGGAAACUGGGUCUAAUACCGGAUAGGAGCCAUUUUUAGUGUGAUGGUUGGAAAGUUUUUUCGGUGUAGGAUGAGCUCGCGGCCUAUCAGCUUGUUGGUGGGGUAAUGGCCUACCAAGGCGGCGACGGGUAGCCGGCCUGAGAGGGUGGACGGCCACAUUGGGACUGAGAUACGGCCCAGACUCCUACGGGAGGCAGCAGUGGGGAAUAUUGCACAAUGGGCGCAAGCCUGAUGCAGCGACGCCGCGUGGGGGAUGACGGCCUUCGGGUUGUAAACUCCUUUCGCUAGGGACGAAGCUUUUUGUGACGGUACCUAGAUAAGAAGCACCGGCUAACUACGUG